UGUUGAUUCCAGGCUAUGCAGAUGCCAUGAAGCUAGGAGUGGAGCAGAUGUCACCAUCAGUGAGAAGUGUCUGGUUUCGUGAGGACUCUUGUAACGGUCCACCUGCCUCCAGGCCAGGACUUGUCGUUAGCUGGGGCUGAAUUUGUAGGAAAAGGUACCUGAAUAGCUGUAGUUAUGAGGGAGACAAGGUCCCCAUUUUCAGGGGCUGGUCAUUUCUCUGUCCACAAGCAGUGUGUUCUCUGCAGCAGAAGGUUGGAUCCAGGGGGAUGACUCCAGCUGAGGAAUCAUCCAGGAGCAGCAGCCGGAGGAGAAAUUGGCAGAAGUAGACCUGAGCCGCCUGGAAAUCCUCUUAAGUGGAGAUCAACAGUCCUCAGCUUUCUGCCUCCCACAUAACUGCCUUACCAAGGGAAAAGAAGUCACGUGUCAGAGUCUACUGCCUUCAUGUCAUGGAAAGUGAGCGAGAGCGAUGGGACCUCAAGAACUACUGAUGCCAAGGAAAAGCC